UACGUAGGGGGCUAGCGUUGUCCGGAAUCAUUGGGCGUAAAGAGCGUGUAGGCGGCUCGGUAAGUCCGCUGUGAAAGUCCAGGGCUCAACCCUGGAAUGCCAGUGGAAACUGUCGAGCUAGAGUCCGGAAGAGGCGAGUGGAAUCCUGGUGUAGCGGUGAAAUGCGCAGAUAUCAAGGAGGAACACCGGUGGCGAAGGCGGGUCUCUGGGCCGAUGACUGACACUGAGGAGCGAAAGCG
rnacentral:rRNA from 1 species